AUGUCCUUGAGGAUCACCCACCGCCGGGACCCACGGGCGGACGAUGAGGACGACGAGGAGGAGGCCGACGAGGACGAGGAGGAGCGCGACGAGGCGGUGACCGGCGGCGGGGCCUCCUGCGGCCCAGUCGAGAGGGACACGGAGCCAAGAUCCGGCGCGGGGACGAGCGCACCGAGCAGUUUGAACCGCGGGGACGGGCUGCGCAUCGGGGACAUCGACCGGGCGCGGCGGUGCACGGAGCCGCUCCGGAACGUGGGCUCGCGGCCGCGCGCGGGACCGUGCCGCCGUUCGCUGUCAUCUUCGUCGCUGUCGGGGUCGAGAUCCGGGAGCGGGGACAGGGUGAGCGGCCGGAUCUGGCCGUUCUGGAAGAGCUCGUCAGCAGAGAUCAUGUGCUCGCCAGGGCCGCCGAACUCGAACUCCGCGUCACCUAGUCCACCGUACCCGCCGCCAUUAGGGGCACCAGCGGCAGCGGAGGAGGACGAGAACAGCAGGUGGUGGAUGGGGCUGGCCGGUGCACUGAAAAAAUAG
rnacentral:rRNA from 1 species